CAGAUAUUUACAUGUACACUAAGAUCCCAGCGGAGGCGCAUGUUUUUUGUGUCAUGGCGUAAAGGAUCUUGAAAAAUAGAGGAAUAUGUUCGGAAAAUUAUUGAAAAAGUGUUUAGAAGGAAAAUCUGCCGGAAAAGUGAAGAAAAAUGUUGUAAAAAUACGGAGUCGUGAUGAAAAGUUGUGGAAAAAGUCCGGACAGCCAAAAUAUAAGGAACAAUUAAAAAAAAUUGCAAUGUGUGAAAAAGGAUCGAAAAAAGUCAAUGAAUCGCCUGGGCUUCCAGCAUUCAUUUAAGUGGAAAGAAGGCGAAGAAGAUGCAACAAGGAGGCAAGUAGUACAAGCCGACAAAGAGUGCAAGGCGAUAUGGGCUAAAAGUGAAUGAAAGUGAUUGGAAAAAAUAAGAGUAAUGCAGGAACUACACGUAUGAAGAGCGGAAAGCAGACAGCAACAAAAGGAAACAGCAAGCCACUCAAAUUGGGAGCCAUCUCACGCACUACCAAGCGGUGGAUAAUACAGGAAAAUCCGAGAAAAUGGAAAUAAAUCUCUCUCAGAUGCUACCCUUGGCACUAAUCGGAAUUUGGAAACCAAUCAAAGAGCGCUUCCGAUUCCCUCUCCGCUUACCUUUCUGAUUGAUGACCUUCGGACGACGACAACCCACCCCCACCCCUCCGGGAAAGUGUGGGGCUUGUGGAAUAUAUUGACAACUUUGAUCUUUUUAAUUUCUGCCCCUGGAAUUUGAAACUUUUUGCCGACCAGUUGUCACACACAUUUGGGAGUCAAGUUGUCAACGGCACUGUUGCCAUGUUUCCUCGUGCCUUUGCCCUUGCCCUUUUCCCUCCCACGGAUUAUUAUUAUUUUUUUUUUGUUAACCCACCCCCGUGGUCCGAGGAGAGGGGUGUAACAGGAGCCACGCAGGUGGCAACUUGUCGCCACUUUAUUAACUGUCAAUCUGGUUGGCAUUUUUUGUGCUUUCCUGAGCUGGAAAUCCAAAAAAUGUAAUACUCUUCCAAAGAUAGGGAGUCUGAAUUAGGUGCGAAGAAAAUCCUGCCCUACAGAGAUUUGAUAGACGAUCUACUUGACAAUAAAUUUAUGUUUGUUUCACCUUA
rnacentral:sRNA from 1 species